rnacentral:rRNA from 1 species
UCGCUACUACCGAUCGGAUGGCUUAGUGAGGCCUACGGAUCUGGAUGCUUAAAUGGCUUGUUCAUUUUUGUGUUUGGAGAAGUAGAACAAACUUGAUCAUCUAGAGGAAGUAA